GCUCCAUUAGCUCAGUUGGUUUAGAGCAUCGUGCUUAUAGUGCAGAAACACUAUGCUAUGUCACGCGGAUGUCGCCAGUUCGAUCCUGGCAUGGAGCA
rnacentral:tRNA from 1 species